rnacentral:lncRNA from 1 species
AAUGCUGACUUGGUUGGUUGACUUUAGGAGAUGUCUAUUGUCAUCUAUAGUGAAAGUUGAGGUAAACCAGAUAAUAUUAAACCAUGCAGAUUGUACCUGUCUACAAUUUAUGGUAAAUAAGAAUUUGCUGGAUGGAAAUGAGUGACAUAUUCUUGUGUUGAUUUUAAUCUAUGGUAGGUUUCUCUUCACGUAUUUGUUUAUGUUAGUGUAAAUUAAAAUUGCUCUUUCUUGGCGAUGAGAGAUCUCUUUUACGAUAAUGAUAUGUCUGUAACAAUGUAUCAUAGUCUUCUUAGAAAAAAGAGGAGUUGAAAU